UAGUGGCGACGGGUGAGUAACACGUGGGCAAUCUGCCCUGCACUCUGGGACAAGCCCUGGAAACGGGGUCUAAUACCGGAUACUGACCAUCUUGGGCAUCUUCGAUGGUCGAAAGCUCCGGCGGUGCAGGAUGAGCCCGCGGCCUAUCAGCUAGUUGGUGAGGUAAUGGCUCACCAAGGCGACGACGGGUAGCCGGCCUGAGAGGGCGACCGGCCACACUGGGACUGAGACACGGCCCAGACUCCUACGGGAGGCAGCAGUGGGGAAUAUUGCACAAUGGGCGAAAGCCUGAUGCAGCGACGCCGCGUGAGGGAUGACGGCCUUCGGGUUGUAAACCUCUUUCAGCAGGGAAGAAGCGAAAGUGACGGUACCUGCAGAAGAAGCGCCGGCUAACUACGUGCCAGCAGCCGCGGUAAUACGUAGGGCGCAAGCGUUGUCCGGAAUUAUUGGGCGUAAAGAGCUCGUAGGCGGCUUGUCACGUCGGUUGUGAAAGCCCGGGGCUUAACCCCGGGUCUGCAGUCGAUACGGGCAGGCUAGAGUUCGGUAGGGGAGAUCGGAAUUCCUGGUGUAGCGGUGAAAUGCGCAGAUAUCAGGAGGAACACCGGUGGCGAAGGCGGAUCUCUGGGCCGAUACUGACGCUGAGGAGCGAAAGCGUGGGGAGCGAACAGGAUUAGAUACCCUGGUAGUCCACGCCGUAAACGGUGGGCACUAGGUGUGGGCAACAUUCCACGUUGUCCGUGCCGCAGCUAACGCAUUAAGUGCCCCGCCCUGGGGAGUACGGCCGCAAGCUAAAACUCAAAGGAAUUGACGGGGCCGCACAGC
rnacentral:rRNA from 1 species